UUAGCACCCCGAACCCCAAAGAUCAUUGUUUUCCAUUAAUAAUGAUCUUAUCUGGGGUGCUAACAUUAUAUGUAUCUUGUCGCCUUUCAGGAGCUGGUUAAAGUGCUCAUGAAAGUGAAAUAGAAGGGUCUACACAC